CACAGUCCUCUAUAUGCCGUUUCAAAUACCAUUCUGUACCAUAGGAGUUACUACAUUUAUCACAUUUGUGCUUCUUUUCAGCAUGCAUCUUCAUAAAGUGCUGUUUUACAAGAGAAAAUUGGGAAAAUGGUCUGUUUGGUCCUCUGGGGCAGCCUUCAAUAGGACAGCAGUAGAAUUUCUGUGGAGUUUUCAAACCCUUCCUUAUUGGUGCAUUAAAUUUUCCAUCCUGGAGCCGGUGGGCCUUGCUGAGGUGCAUGUUGAGGGCCGGGCUGUUGGGCAGCACCUUGCCGCAGCCCGGCACGGUGCACAGGAUGUUGGUCCUCACUUGAGACAGCUCCGUCACCGAGGGCCGCACCAGCUCGCGGGCGGGCGGCGGGUCCCCCGCGGGUGGCUGCCCCAGGCCCCCGCCGCGCCGCCCCGCCGCCGCCAUGUUGCUGUCAGGUG
rnacentral:lncRNA from 1 species